AGUGAACGCUGGCGGUAGGCCUAACACAUGCAAGUCGAACGGCAGCACAGUAAGAGCUUGCUCUUACGGGUGGCGAGUGGCGGACGGGUGAGGAAUACAUCGGAAUCUACUUUUUCGUGGGGGAUAACGUAGGGAAACUUACGCUAAUACCGCAUACGACCUACGGGUGAAAGCAGGGGAUCUUCGGACCUUGCGCGAUUGAAUGAGCCGAUGUCGGAUUAGCUAGUUGGCGGGGUAAGGGCCCACCAAGGCGACGAUCCGUAGCUGGUCUGAGAGGAUGAUCAGCCACACUGGAACUGAGACACGGUCCAGACUCCUACGGGAGGCAGCAGUGGGGAAUAUUGGACAAUGGACGCAAGCCUGAUCCAGCCAUACCGCGUGGGUGAAGAAGGCCUUCGGGUUGUAAAGCCCUUUUGUUGGGAAAGAAAAGCAGCAGGUUAAUACCCCGCUGUUCUGACGGUACCCAAAGAAUAAGCACCGGCUAACUUCGUG
rnacentral:rRNA from 1 species